rnacentral:lncRNA from 1 species
AAGGCAUUUCCUAGGCAGGGAGCCUAGCAAGAGGCUUCUCUUUCUGAGCCUAAAGCAUUUCGAGACUCCCACAGGAUUAAAAGGCACCUGGACCACAGAAAGACACCAAUUAAGAAGACCUGCUCUGGGUUUGUGCAUGAGCAAGGAACACGAAUUAUUUCUCAAGCCACUGAAAAUAUAGUUUGAUGACGGCAACAGGUAGGGGUUACCAUAACAAUCCGACCUCAUGGGCUCGAAACUUGACAAAUAGCACACGACUGUCAAUGAGUGGACACAGGGCAGCUGGUAGUGGACCCGGCCUGAAGAGUCUCCCUGACCUUGGAAGGACACUGGAUGGUGGUGACCCAUUACAUAGUUCCAUUGCCCGGGAUGGGCAGAGCUGCCUAACUGUGACCCCAGAAUCUUAAUACGAUCCCAAGAGAAAGGUACCCUGAAAAUGGCUGAAACCAUUCUUACUGCCACACUCUCACAACUGGGUUUGAAAUGACUGUGGCUCGGUAGGAAUGCCGACAGCAGCAUUUAUUUGAACUUGUUUAAGAUAUCGAUGAAGAAGUUGAGGAUGAAGGUGAAGAUGAUGAGGGUGAAGGGGAGGAGAGGAUGACUAGCACUGAUGGACUCCAACCUUCUUUUUUCUUUUUAUUUAUUUUUUUAAUUUUCUCCAGUCCCUAGGAGCAAGUUGCAGUCCUUUUCUCCCUGUCCCUCUAUGGUCGGUCAGUCACCCUGUUUUUGAGGUCUCAACAUCAUGAUUCUCAACUAAUUUUGGGGAAAAUAUCUUGAGCAAAACACAACGGGAGAAGAAUCA